CUAAGAGAGAGAUUAUGGUCGGUACGAAACAUUCACGAAUAAGAAGCCAAGGAGAUUGCCAAUAUAGAGAUCCUGUCUCCUUUUAAAGCAGAGUACCAAUCAAAGAAGCCGUGGAUGGUCUUCGCCAUAAAUUCAACCCGGAGGGCUUGCCGAAAUAUGUUCCAGGGCAGUAACAAAUAAUCACCAAUAUCUGCAUGGAUAUGUUUGAACAAGAAUGAUAAAGUUCAGAGGAAGACAAUGAUAACCAGCUAGCUUUCCUUUCUUAUUUCUCAAUCAGUUACCAUUCCUCAUUGUAUCAGUUACCAGGACCAUCAGGGAGUAUAUCCGAAGAAACCGCACAUGAGCAGAUACUUACCAGCUUCAUCACACUACCACCUACAUCAAAAGAUGUAUUUCGCACCCUUUUGGAAGAGACACGAGAUUAUCCGAGGGAGAAAAUUUGAAAAAUUAAGAAGGACUUCUAAGGGACAUACUGCAGAAGAAUGGGCCAACAAAGAGAGGAUGCUACAUAUAACAAAUACGGUAAGUAGUCAACCUGUGGGCUUCAUCUGUUUUUCGAAUGUUUUAGGUGUAACGAAACCUAUCGUCGUGCGCUUAGAAAAGGACCACAUACUGGUGAAACAUUUGACAGUCAGCAAUUUAUGGAAUACAUUGCUGAUAGCAAAACACAAAUUUCCUCCGUUAAGGGCGUUAUGAGUCUACAGAGUGUCGUGCAAGUGUAGGAAAUACUAUGUAGGAAAAACUGCAUGGAACUUCGAAUAUCGUAUGAAGGAACACGAAAUCAGAUUAGAUUAGGAAAAACAGACCAGUACCAGAAUGUGCAAUAUUGUGUCCACUGGAUACAUGAAACCUCUUUGAUCUGAAAAUACGAAGGUUACAAAAAACAAAAUCCGGUAUAAAUAGUAUAGAAUGGAAAUGCGAAAACCUUUUCAAUUUUACCUCCUUUUGUGAAGGACAAAGAACGAGUAACGUUCUUUGAUCAGGGAGCAGAUGGUGAUGGCAAAGAUGACAGCGAGUUAGAAGAGAACGUGUUUUAAUCAUUACAUUCUAGCUCCACUUCCACCCACAACAGACAAGACAUACCUUUUCCAGAAACUUCUACUAAUAAUAAUGCUUCAGAAUCUGUACAAGAACUUACAACAACUCUAAAAGCAAAAAAAAAGAAUUUCAAAAGCAACAACCGAGUUGCCUACGUCAGGAAGUAGGGGAGAGACCUUUUUGAAAUAUAAGUAAUAUGAAAAAUAUACUUCAAGUAUAAUUGCUUGUCUUAUCAAUGAGCCUUGAAUGACCGGAGACGGAGGUAGAAGUUUUCCAAUAAUGUCAUUUACGAGGACAUCAUACUCUUCAUCUCAUUCCAGCAUAAAUCUUCUGGUAUUACCAAUCCUUUUAUAUUUUACUUGAAACUCGGAAUUGGACAAGACGUGUCUAAUUCCACCAACAUAAAAAUAAGCAAGUUGUUUUUCAACAUUAUUUAUCAAAAUCAAAUUGCCCUUAUUUAAAUUACCUUGGGCAAAAUUCUCUUCAAUCUUCCUACGUUUUAUAUUUUCUAAUAGGGUUUCUUCUUCACUGCUGGAACUGUUUGGUACUUUUUCAUUAUCUUCAUGUGAGGAACUGUUGUUGGAACCAUUUAAUUUUUUGGAAAUUUUUCACCGGUGCCACUUUUCUUUCAUAUUCAAUUAUUUUCUUUUCAGACUAAUUAGUCAAUAUGCACGUUUUCCUUUUUUUCUUCCUAUUUGUACUAGUAUCCGCGUGGCUUUUAGAAAUGGGCCUAUAUCUUCAGGUGACUUAAAUAAAGAUAUUGAAGGAAUACUCAUGGUCCAGCUCGCAGCAGCCGAUGCAGCACUGCAUUGAGACUUCGAUGUGGAUGGAAAAGCAUAAAUAUUAUCUUCAUUCGUCGACUUUGCAAAAGAGUUACUGUUAAACUCUACGCUUAAGUCUGUUUCAUCUUGACCAUAUCUUGUUUAAUAUUUUUUUGGUUUAUAAUAAAUCACCUCCUGAAAUGCCAUGCCUAAUCUUUCGGUCAGUGACAAAUGAGGACAGAAAUUCAUAGUCUCGAAAAACUUGGCCAUCAGGUAUGUCACCUGAUCCAUCCUUACCCAUCUUUCAAUAUUCUCUUUAGUAAAAGAUUUACUAAAUGUUUUUCCUAUAAAUUCAGCAAUAUCAUAUGUGCUAAUUGGUUUUCCAUUAUGUUCUAGUAGCCAAAUAUUUAAGACAGCUUUUCACACUGCCAAAUAACUGCGGGGUGAUAUUUCAUCAACAUUAAGAAUUGAAUUUUAAUACCUAACGAAAUUUAAAAUAGGGUUAAAGUAAGGUUAAAAAAAUGAUUUCUUCAAAACGACCAAGAUUUAAGAAUUGAACUUUUUUGAGGAUAUAAAGGAACGUUUAAUAUUAUGUUAUACCAAAUUUGAAGUUUCCAAGCUGAAAAUUAAGAAGUGAAUUUGACACCAAAUUAAAGCUGAAAUGUUGCUCUUUAAUAUGGUAUAUGAAACAUAUUUGGUUGUAUUAUAAAAAUGUUUAGACAAUAAAACUUGAAGUUGUGUUACAUUUCCAUUUUAAUCUUAAAUUGUCAUAAUACAAGUUGAAACUUAAAAAAUCGUGGAAGCGUUGUUUAUGAAAAUUAAGAAGUAAAAUUGAAAUAAAAUUAAAGCUGAAACAUUGCUCUUUAAUAGUGUAUAUGAAACAUAUGUAUUUGAUUUAUAAAUUUUUUUAGAUAAGGAAACUCGAGGUUGUGGUACAUUUUUAUCUUAAUCUUAAUUGUUUCUGAAAACAGAAAUAUGAUUUUGAUAUCAAAUUAAAGCUAAAAUGUUGCUCUUCAAUAUGGUAUAUGAAACAUAUUUGGUUGUGUUAUACAAAUUUUUAGAUAAGAGAACUUGAAGUUAGCUUACAUUUUCGUCUUAAUUACAAAAUGUCAUAAUUCAGGUUGAAACUAGAUAAAUCGUGAAAGGGUGUAAAAAUUUAGAAGUUAAUUUGACAUCAAAUUAAAGUUGAAAGACUACUUCAACUUUAAAAAACUUAAAAAAUCGUGAAAGCGGUGUUUAUGGAAAUAAAGAAGUCAAUUUGAUAACAAAUUAAAGUUGAAACAUUGCUCUUUAACCAGAUAAAUAUAUGUGAAACAUAUCUAUUUGUAUUAUAAAUCUAUUUGCUAAGCUAAUCGCUGCAAUUGAAAUGUGUAAUUCAUAAUCUACAAAGAAGACCAUCCAGAUGGAUUUGUGCCGCCAAUGAAUCCUUUUGGAGCACCAAUAAGCAUGUGGGACUUGAAGUAUGCUCUGGGAAAAAUCAACAUGGGUGUUACAUGAUUACCAAGGUAUUAACCGCAACAAUCAUAGCAAGGAAAUUCAUUGCUUCUCUUUUUGUGAGACCAUGAAAACACUUUAUGACUGUAGAGUUAGUAUUAAUUAUAAGAAAUAUUUCUAAAGCUAACAAUGAAAUAAACACGUAUGAAGUGUU